AAAGCAUAGCUCCAUGAAACCCAACAGGGACAAUGACAGGAGUACCUUUAACCACGAUCCACAAGCAAAAUGCGCGUCCAUUGCCACGACAUGCACCACUGGGAAGGGUGGAAGUACUCUGCCAGGAAGACACAACUAAGAAAGAACGGCUUGGACAGCGGUCAGGUCAUGUCAGCAGUAAGUGCCAAACCUGAGACAGAUGAAGCUCUUUGCAGUGUGGAUGUGACUACUGCACUCUAGAGAAAGGUAGCCCUGGGCUGAGCAGACUUUGAUUCACAUUUGAGUGCUGAAGAAGCUGGAGUUCCUUGGAGUGCAUCAUAAUUUCUGUGUGUAUAUAGUACCUCCUAUCCCAACAAAAAGGCAUAUAUAAGAAUUAUAAAGAAAGCUCUCAGCAAAAGAAUGACUUGAGCACAGAGGAGUAAACGAAGCUCUCUUCAUUCCCACCCUGUCUCCAGGUGGGUUAGGACCAAUUCUCAACUCACUGACCUGUUGUCUCUCAGUUUUAAGUUUUGUUUUGGGGUUGUGGAAUAUCCUUAUGAAUUAAUGCCUAAAUCAAUCAUUUGCCAGAACUGCUCAUGCUGAAUUAAUACUAAAAAUAUAUAAACCAAGUGGAGCCCCAGAUCAACCCUGUAUGAUGAUUCGGCACUUACAACCUUAGCUAAAGCACAUUACAUAUAAUUUUAUGCAAAAUAAGGUCUGUAACUUUUAAUGGGAGACAGCUUAAGGCUACAACUAGCCUGUGUAUGUAUGCACUCAAGUGAGUGUCUACAUGCACAACCCUGCUGUUGAGGUAUGGAAAAACUAUGAGCACUUUAAAGCAGAAAUUCAAUAGCAAAACACUUUGGUUACAUGAAUAGUCAGCUACACUUUGGUCCUGAUUGCCUCAGCGUUUUCUCAGCAGCCCUUGACUCUCUUCCCUAUGGGACCUAUUACUUAUGCCUUGUGUUUUAGUUCUUUUCCCUGUACUGGCAUUUCUUUGGCAAGUAGAGCCACGUUUGCUUCUAAUGAAAGUGCCUCUCCCUUUUGCUGUUCAAGCACAUUUUUGUCUUCUAGCUCUUUUCUCCUGGACUUCUAUUUUUUUUGGCCUGACAUAUGUGAGGGAUACACUUGUGUUUAGGGUGGCAGCUUUUGCUGUCCAGCAAAGACAUACAAAAGUGCCACACGACCACCAGUAGCCAUUAUUCAUUACUGACAUUAGAGUCAUAAUUAGCUCUCCAAUUUACUGGAAUGCCCUGAUUGAUCUUGCUUUCAAUUUUUUUGGUUAUGAUCUAAUGUUUCCAAAUUUUUAAUACUUGCUUUAAGAGAUUCUAUCAAUUUAUAGAGCUGUGUUCUGUGGGGAAAUAUAUCACGUUAAGUACCUAACUGUACUCUAAGUGUACCUGUGGUCAAAUGGAAGCUAUGUAGGCAGUCAUGUUCUGUACAUUCAAACUUAAGAGUUCACACGUAUAAACCCUGCUGUAUGUGCUGAUAGAAUUAUUAUAUAAUAACUGUUCAUGUGGGUUAGUCCCGAGAAGAGGACAAGGUGCAUUCAGACAUUUGAGAUGUCACUUUAUCUGCAGCACAGUGGCUGAUGAUA